rnacentral:rRNA from 1 species
GACGAACGCUGGCGGCGUGCUUAACACAUGCAAGUCGAGCGGUAAGGCCCUUUCGGGGGUACACGAGCGGCGAACGGGUGAGUAACACGUGGGUGACCUGCCCUCAGCUCUGGGAUAAGCCUGGGAAACCGGGUCUAAUACUGGAUAUGACUCCAUGACGCAUGUUGUGGGGUGGAAAGCCUUGUGCGGCUGAGGAUGGGCCCGCGGCCUAUCAGCUUGUUGGUGGGGUGANGGCCUACCAAGGCGACGACGGGUAGCCGGCCUGAGAGGGCGAACCGGCCACACUGGGACUGAGACACGGCCCAGACUCCUACGGGAGGCAGCAGUGGGGAAUCUUGCGCAAUGGGCGAAAGCCUGACGCAGCGACGCCGCGUGAGGGAUGACGGCCUCGG